rnacentral:ncRNA from 1 species
GGUUAAGCUACUAAGGGCACACGGAGGAUGCCUUGGCGCCAAGAGCCGAUGAAGGACGGGACGAACACCGAUAUGCUUCGGGGAGCUGUAAGUGAGCUUUGAUCCGGAGAUUUCCGAAUGGGGCAACCCACCUGCUUGAAGAGCAGGUAUCGCUAGCUGAAUACAUAGGCUAGUGGAAGGCAUACCGGGGGAACUGAAACAUCUAAGUACCCCGAGGAAGA